UGCUUUCCGGGGCCGACGAGGAUUUGAACCUCCGGGGGCAGGAGGUUCGAGUCGAGCGCAGCGAGACAACGUUGCGCAGCAACGGCCCGCAGGGUGAGCCGCGCAGCGGCAAGUCAUCCUCUAUCACCGACCA
rnacentral:sRNA from 1 species